ACGCUCGACACCUACUGGAGGCAGCAGUGGGGAAUAUUGCACAAUGGGCGAAAGCCUGAUGCAGCAACGCCGCGUGAAGGAGGAAGGCCUUCGGGUCGUAAACUUCUGUCCUUGAGGAAGAAGAACUGACGGUACUCAAGGAGGAAGCCCCGGCUAACUACGUGCCAGCAGCCACGGUAAUCUGAGCGGGCUGGCAAGGC
rnacentral:rRNA from 1 species